UUUUGUGGAUGAGCAAAGGAAAUGGUUUAUUGAGAUGGAAUCUACUUCUGGUGAAGGUGCUAUGAA
rnacentral:pre_miRNA from 1 species